rnacentral:rRNA from 1 species
UACGUAGGGACCAAGCGUUGUUCGGAUUUACUGGGCGUAAAGGGCGUGUAGGCGGCAAUUCAAGUCAUCUGUGAAAUCUCCGGGCUUAACCCGGAACGGUCAGAUGAUACUGCUUUGCUAGAGUGCGGAAGGGGCAAUCGGAAUUCCCGGUGUAGCGGUGGAAUGCGUAGAGAUCGGGAAGAACAUCGGUGGCGAAGGCGGCCUGCUGGGCUCUUGCUGACACUGAUGCGCGACAGCGUGGGGAGCAAACAGG